rnacentral:rRNA from 1 species
AUUGAACGCUGGCGGCAUGCCUUACACAUGCAAGUCGAACGGUAACGGGCCUUCGGGUGCCGACGAGUGGCGAACGGGUGAGUAAUACAUCGGAACGUGCCCGAACGUGGGGGAUAACGAGGCGAAAGCUUUGCUAAUACCGCAUACGAUCUACGGAUGACAGCAGGGGACCGCAAGGCCUUGCGCGGACGGGGCGGCCGAUGUCAGAUUAGGUAGUUGGUGGGAUAAAAGCUUACCAAGCCGACGAUCUGUAGCUGGUCUGAGAGGAUGAUCAGCCACACUGGGACUGAGACACGGCCCAGACUCCUACGGGAGGCAGCAGUGGGGAAUAUUGGACAAUGGGCGCAAGCCUGAUCCAGCCAUGCCGCGUGCAGGAUGAAGGCCUUCGGGUUGUAAACUGCUUUUGUACGGAACGAAAAGCCUUCUUUUAAUACAGGAGGGUCAUGACGGUACCGUAAGAAUAAGCACCGGCUAACUACGUG